UGUAAGCCCCAAGAGGCAGAGGCUCACCUUCCUUAUUCACUGAUGCUAGCAACAGUGCCUGCUACAAAACAGUACACAGAAAAGGAAUGGAUAAACGAGCAAGUGAAGUGUCUUGAGUUCCAGGUUGACUCCUGCAGACCUGCCUCUUUCUCUUUACCUUGACAUCCUGCUCUGGGCUGGAGUUCCGAGUCCCAUGCUCCACCCAAACACUGGCCCUACCCCCUCUGGGGCUUGGCCCACUCACCGGAUGGGGAAGCCAGCAGCACUGAUAUGAAUGGUCUCCACAAGGCCACAGGCCUCCAGCUGGCUGAGGACCUGCAUGGGUGAGGAGACAGGGUAGGCACCUGUGGUGGGGAGACAGCAGGCCAGAAAUACCACUCCUCUGCCCUCUGAGGCUCUGGUCCGUGUGAACCUACAGGCUGUCCUGAUGCUUGACUGAUGAGGGUAUACUCUCCCUGCUUCUGAUACUGCGGAGGCAAUGGAGUAAAUCAUAGCUGAGGAGGAGGUUAUAUUGUAAGAAUUCAUUGGGACCUGAGUGGAGAGAUCCUGGCCAUAAACCCUAAGGCCAGUUGACUAUGGGACUCUCUCCAGCAUCCAGCACUCAUGCCUCUUCUACACCAGAGCCCAGUACCCUGAACAAAGGGCAGCUGCUGGCCAUCAACUGUUUUUGUGCAAAUCAGAAAAACUCUACCCCUGGUCAGAAGCAGCCACACCGUGCACCGACUACAUGCAAGGUGAUGAAGACCCUUCAGCCAAUCACCUAAUCUUCGGGGCAGCUUUAGUCUCAUAAGGGCACAUGGACUGGUAAGCAGAGUGUAAGACGCAGUGGAGGCUUCCUGGCUAGCUCACUGUGCCGUGCAUAGACCGAAAGACCAUACAUGACUGUCCUGCCAAAGCAGGGGCACAAGAUGCCCUAAUGUCAAACUCAACCCAAGAGACUUGCUCUGGUCACUCCA